UGUGUAGGCGGGGCUGUAAGUCAGAGGUGAAAUCCUACGGCUCAACCGUAGAACUGCCUUUGAUACUGCAGCUCUUGAAUCUCGGAGAGGUCACUAGAAUUCGUGGUGUAGCGGUGAAAUGCGUAGAUAUCACGAGGAAUACCAGAUGCGUAGGCGGGUGACUGGACGAGUAUUGACGCUGAGGCACGAAAGCGUGGGGAGCAAACAGGAUUAGAUACCCUGGUAGUCC
rnacentral:rRNA from 1 species